rnacentral:rRNA from 1 species
CCUACGGGAGGCAGCAGUGAGGAAUAUUGGUCAAUGGACGCAAGUCUGAACCAGCCAUGCCGCGUGCAGGAAGACGGCUCUAUGAGUUGUAAACUGCUUUUGUACGAGGGUAAACGCAGAGACGCGUAUCUGUCUGAAAGUAUCUUACGAAAAAGCAUCGGCAAACCCCGUGCCAGCAGCCGCGGUAAUACGGGGGAUGCGAGCGUUAUCCGGAUUUAUUGGGUUAAAAGGGUGUGCAGGCGGAAGAUCAAGUCAGCGGUAAAAUUGAGGGGCUAAACCGCUUCGAGCCGUUGAAACUGGUUGUCUUGAGUGUGUGAGAGGUAUGCGGAAUGCGUGGUGUAGCGGUGAAAUGCAUAGAUAUCACGCAGAACUCCGAUUGCGAAGGCAGCAUACCGGCGCUCAACUGACGCUCAUGCACGAAAGUGUGGGUAUCGAACAGGAUUAGAUACCCUUGUAGUC